rnacentral:rRNA from 1 species
AACGAACGCUGGCGGCAGGCCUAACACAUGCAAGUCGAGCGAAGCCUUCGGGCUUAGCGGCGGACGGGUGAGUAACGCGUGGGAACGUGCCCUUUGGUACGGAAUAGCCCCGGGAAACUGGGAGUAAUACCGUAUGUGGUCGAGAGACGAAAGAUUUAUCGCCAAAGGAUCGGCCCGCGUUGGAUUAGGUAGUUGGUGGGGUAAUGGCCUACCAAGCCGACGAUCCAUAGCUGGUUUGAGAGGAUGAUCAGCCACACUGGGACUGAGACACGGCCCAGACUCCUACGGGAGGCAGCAGUGGGGAAUCUUAGACAAUGGGGGAAACCCUGAUCUAGCCAUGCCGCGUGAUCGGUAAAGGCCUUAGGGUUGUAAAGAUCUUUCAGUGGGGAAGAUAAUGACUGUACCCACAGAAGAAGCCCCGGCUAACUCCGUGCCAGCCGCCGCGGUAACAC